CGCCACUGGGGCUCUUCGUUUUGCAAUCAUCCCCUCUUUAUCUGCUGGAUUGCACUGAAACCCAGACUCUGAAUUUUACAGAUGUUGAAGUCUGGAUCUGAUAUCUCAUAUCAAGGAGCUGUGGUGCUGGUCCUGCUGGUGCUGCUGGAUGGGACCAAAGUCAUGCACCCGGUGCUCAGCAGAGCAGGACAUGUCCUCCAUGGGCUCACUGCAAGCUGGUGCUCAUGGGAACAAAGGGUUCAGCAACUUUCUAUCAGGUCUGAAGCCUGCAAUAUCGAGAUAUGUGGCUCAUACAGGAGGGAGCUGUGUGGUUGAUUUAUCACCGUAAUGCAAACACGUGUAAGUCUCCAACAGCACGGUCCAGUGAAGCUGUAAAGCAGGAACACCGAGAGCGCCUUUGACUAAAUAAAAUAAGAUUAAAAUGUCA
rnacentral:lncRNA from 1 species